AGAGUUUGAUCCUGGCUCAGACUGAACGCUGGCGGCAUGCCUUACACAUGCAAGUCGAACGGUAGCGGGCCUUCGGGUGCCGACGAGUGGCGAACGGGUGAGUAAUGUAUCGGAACGUACCUUUCAGUGGGGGAUAACGUAGCGAAAGUUACGCUAAUACCGCAUAUUCUGUGAGCAGGAAAGCAGGGGAUCGCAAGACCUUGCGCUGAUUGAGCGGCCGAUAUCAGAUUAGCUAGUUGGUGAGGUAAAGGCUCACCAAGGCGACGAUCUGUAGCGGGUCUGAGAGGAUGAUCCGCCACACUGGAACUGAGACACGGUCCAGACUCCUACGGGAGGCAGCAGUGGGGAAUUUUGGACAAUGGGGGCAACCCUGAUCCAGCCAUGCCGCGUGAGUGAAGAAGGCCUUCGGGUUGUAAAGCUCUUUCGGCCGGGAAGAAAUCGCAUGGGUUAAUACCCUGUGCGGAUGACGGUACCGGCAUA
rnacentral:rRNA from 1 species